GACGUAGGGCGCGAGCGUUGUCCGGAUUUAUUGGGCGUAAAGAGCUCGUAGGCGGCUUGUCGCGUCGUUCGUGAAAACCUGCAGCUCAACUGCAGGCUUGCGGUCGAUACGGGCAGGCUAGAGUUCGGUAGGGGAGACUGGAAUUCCUGGUGUAGCGGUGAAAUGCGCAGAUAUCAGGAGGAACACCGGUGGCGAAGGCGGGUCUCUGGACAGUUCCUGACACUGAGACACGAAGGCCAGGGGAGCAAACGGG
rnacentral:rRNA from 1 species